rnacentral:tRNA from 1 species
UCCCCGAUGGUGUAACGGUAACAUACCUGGUUUUCAGUAGAAAAUCUCAAGUGAAAUAUCACCCAGGCGCCCCGGGUUCAACUCCCGGUCGAGGAA